UUUGAACGUUAUAAUGUGCUUCUUGCUAUUUUCAUAUUUCCACAAAUAAAAAUAUCGAAAAGUCUACUUAGCCUUUAGAGGAGGAGGGGGUUGGCAAAAGUCUACUGAGUCUACUAGGGGGAGGGGGGUGCUGGGUUCAAAAAAUCUCAAAUUUCGGUCUACGUGGGUCCCUUAACUUCACACAUUUAGUUACAUGCAAAAAAUAACGCCCAUAUGAACAACGGAAAAUAAAACUCACAAGGACAGAAAAUGUUUCAUUAAACCCGCUAUUAGAAUGUAAAGAUCAGAAAUAAACUUCAAGCGUAAGAAUCGGACUGAGAUCCUUCAGCAUAAGAAACGCCAAAAAAGUUGUCAACCGCAAAACUCGACAAGGAUGAACCUCCAGUUUAAAAACCGGUUAAAAUUAAAUAAUUCGUAUGCAGGAGUAUCCGUAUAUCGCGACGUUCAAGAUAAAAAGUCAGCUAAAAAACUACUUUGUAAGAAUCGGUUAUAGUUUUCCGGUUUUUAUACUGAAGGUUAUUUAAUCCGGCUCUUAGAGGGGAGAAUCUCAGUUCGAUUUUUAUGCUUGAAGUUUAUAUCAGAAUUUUACAUUCUAAUACAUUUGAAGCGGGUUUUACGAAGCAUGUUUUGUCCUAGCGACUUUUAUUUUUGGUCGUUCAUAUCCACUAGACAACACGUUCCAUGGCGACACUAGUGAACUCUGGUGAUAUGGAAAAACUCACUUUCUUCUUGCAUCUGAACCGUACACCAAAAAUUACGUAUCUGAUUCACGGUCCGCGAUCAUCCAAGAACACAUGCGAAUAUGCGAAAGGCACACGGUCAUAAAAUAUAAUUUAUACACGCGAAGUUACAUACACGUUAUCACACGCGACAUAGUAACUCAUACGCGAUCGAAAACGUUAAUGUACAAACGCCUAAACCCUUCACUAUGAUACACGCAAUCGCGAACUCCCUACGCCCGCACAUAUCUGAACCGUAAAAUGAAUAUCACAUUCAGAAUCACGGCCCACUGUAAUUGGCCUUAAGCAGUUUACUGGGUAACAUUUCCCGUCUUGUUUUCAAUUGUAUUGUUGGGAGUCCUGUCGAGACUAUAGCUCUACUGCUCCAGUACUCUCGAGGAAAAUGUACUCUGGGUUUUAACUGGAGUGUGUGGCGAAGGGUUACUCCCCCACAUAUCGCACCGCCAUGUCCUAACCCCAACUCGUUAAACCCCCUCAGAUCCACCAGUCCCCUCAGACUACCACCCCAUCAGACCCCGAUAAUCUAGGUCAAUCCAAUCUGAUCCCUUAGAUAAACAGCUAAAACAAUGCACCGUAUUAUUCGCAAAAUCUAUUCAAAUUUAUUCACAGAUUCGUUUUUUUUCAGGUGUUGAACUUGAUCAUGGCAUUCGGUAAUUUAUUUGUUUUCGUGACACUUAUUCAGGACUUUUUUUGGUAGUAUUGUUUACACCUGAUCUCCAUGAUAGUCCACCCUGGACACUAAUCCAGACACAUUAACCUGCCCAGAAACCAGUGUCAUGCAAACUCGUUCGAGUCCAAAUGCUUCCCGAGUUUCAAAGUUUUGCGAUCGUCUAAAUAUUUCAAAUUAAUGGUAACGAUAAACUUUGUCGGAUGGAAAAACUUUCAGUAUAGUAAUAGUCUGUAUCACCUGGCAAUCUGACUUCCUUGAAUAGCACAAACCGUCGUUUUUUUAUAUCCUUGCAUUAUGGAAAUUGUACAAAACUCGGAAGGAUACGACCAGCACCGAGCUAUAGGACGAUUGGUAGUGGUCGAAAAAUGCAAGUGUUACUCCGGAGCUUGAGCUCCAAUUGAACCACUAAUAAUCUAAUGGUUGCAUAAUUAUUUCGUGGUUAGUUUGUGUGGAAAUGAACCACAACGGCAGCCGAUACACGUCGUUCGCCUUUGCUAGUGGAGGGAUCGCUGGCAGCGGCGGUGCCCGAGGGGAACUGAGCAGUGGAAAUUUGAACAGAAAGCUGAGUAGUCCGAUGGCAGAGUCGACACAGUUGGACAGCAGCGGUAUCCGGGGGAAUCUUUACGGUAGUCCGGUAGGACAGGUUGGAGUUGGGAAAAGAAGCCUACCUCUCCGUUGCAAAAUAGCAGGACAAAUUUUAGAAGAAGCUGAAUGGCGUCCGGGUCCAGUGUGGAUCGAUUGAUUGAUCCUAAGAUUUACGCGGAUGUUCAGAGCCGAGGAUUGGUUAACCGGUUGGUAAAGUACCACGACAAAAUGCAAUCGCCGUUAAAUAAGAGUCAAUCGAUGACUAGCCUGUACUCGAAGCCGGGUCAAUUUCAUGUGUGGUGGAGGAGAAACAAUUCUUCGACAGCUCCCAUUGGUUCGAAUUGCCCCGUCAGAGAAGUCCGUGUUUCAGGCUGACACAAGGUGGAACGGGAGGGAUCGUUGCUCAUUCCGACGAAACCUCAUCUGAAGAUGAUCCGAACACAUAGACACGAGGAUGAGAUUGAUGCGGAAAAUAGUGUGAUUGCGCCUUCGACAGAACUGGAUGCCGAUUGGAUUAAGAAACAAUGUAAGGAACUAUCGGAGGUUGAUUCAGGCGAAGCUGGUACAAAGCAAGCUCGGGAAAUUACAUACACGGCUUCGCCCCCGUGUCGAGGGUCGGCGAAUCAGCAGCUGCAGACGAAGAAAUUAUGUAGUAAAGCCUCGAGCCUGGUGAUGAACACUCCGAAAGUGGAACGCGUAGCGCCCCGACCGACACGAUUAAAUGUGGAUGUCUUUCUCGACGCCGGUAACAUUGAAUGCGAUGGUUCCAUUUAGCAUGAUUGAAUCGAGCAAACCGGCAAAAUUAAGUAGAAUUGAUUCCGCUCCUUUGCCACAGAUUACGAGAAUUGUUCCGGAGUUUCAACCGCCUCUGAUGGAAUAUCCGCCACUAAAGCUAACGUUGUUUAACAAGAAAUAUAACGUCCUGGCGCUAAUAAAAAUUUUGA